rnacentral:sRNA from 1 species
AUUCGGAUUUGCACACUCGACUGCGGCAAUUACGCAACCCGACGUUUGCAACGCAUCAUCUGCGUAGGCGACGCAGGGUCCGGUUCGCCCGAUAUUGCGAUAUUAUUAUUGUUUAUUAAUAGCGGCGCCUCGCUGGCUCCUGCUGGCUGUGGACUUAGCUUGGAUCUGGGCUUGGGCUUGGGCAUGGGCCGUAUAUCGAUACAUGUUCAC